rnacentral:rRNA from 1 species
UACAGAGGUGGCAAGCGUUGUUCGGAAUUACUGGGCGUAAAGGGCGCGUAGGCGGCCAACUAAGUCCGACGUGAAAUCCCCAGGCUUAACCUGGGAACUGCGUCGGAUACUGGAUGGCUUGAAUUCGGGAGAGGGAUGCAGAAUUCCAGGUGUAGCGGUGAAAUGCGUAGAUAUCUGGAGGAAUACCGGUGGCGAAGGCGGCAUCCUGGACCGACAUUGACGCUGAUGAGCGAAAGCUAGGGGAGCAAACGGG